CUGCCCUCAAGCACGGCUUGUGUGUUGGGCUCCGUCCCCCCGGGGACGGGUCCGAAAGGCAGCGGCGGCACCGAGUCCGGUCCUCGAGCGUAUGGGGCUUUGUCACCCGCUCUGUAGGCCCGGCCGGCGCCAGCCGACAACCAAUCAUCCUUUUCA
rnacentral:misc_RNA from 2 species